GAUGAACGCUGGCGGCGUGCCUAAUACAUGCAAGUCGAGCGAACAGAUGAGGAGCUUGCUCCUCUGACGUUAGCGGCGGACGGGUGAGUAACACGUGGAUAACCUACCUAUAAGACUGGGAUAACUUCGGGAAACCGGAGCUAAUACCGGAUAAUAUAUUGAACCGCAUGGUUCAAUAGUGAAAGACGGUUUUGCUGUCACUUAUAGAUGGAUCCGCGCCGCAUUAGCUAGUUGGUAAGGUAACGGCUUACCAAGGCAACGAUGCGUAGCCGACCUGAGAGGGGGAGCUGCCACACUGAAACUGAGACACGGUCCAGACUCCUACGGGAGGCAGCAGUAGGGAAUCUGCCGCAAUGGGCGAAAGACUAACGGCGCAGCGCCGCGUGAGUGAUGAAGGUCUUCGGAUCGUAAAACUCUGUUAUUAGGGAAGAACAAAUGUGUAAGUAACUAUGCACGUCUUGACGGUACCUAAUCAGAAAGCCACGGCUAACUGCGUG
rnacentral:rRNA from 1 species